rnacentral:lncRNA from 1 species
GGGUCGGGAGCGCGGCGCGGCCGCUCUGCGGUAAGGUCGGGCCAGGCUGUGCCGGGCCCAGCGCUGUGGGGCGGCCCCAGACCGCAGCACUUCCCCUGCACUGGCGGUAGCGGAGAUGUGAGACGGCGCUCGGAGAUGGUGGGAGAACAGGGGGAGGCCAGGGCAAAUUAUAGCACUGCUUUUAGCAGCUCUGAAAGAAAAUUCAUGUACUCACAUUCAAAGACCGAUAUUUGAAAGGACUGUAUAUAGAUAUGCCACACAUAACCAGCGCAUGAAUGAGAUGGAGCAACAAUUUCAAGAAGCAGGACCUGAUUUUGGGAGCAUGCACUCUAGCUCUGAAUCAGUUCAAGAUAACUGGACACCUGCUGUGGAUGCUAUGGAAAAUAUUUUCAGAAUGGGAUCAGGCAAGUAUUGGGUUCGGAACACAAAAUGCUGAUCCACAGCUGGAACUAGCCCAAUGUUCAUGGCUCUUCCUAUCUGGAUUUUCUUUUCAACCCACUAGGGUGCAAAUUGCUCAGUUGCAGAAAAUUUCUGUGUUUGUGUGUGUUCCUUGAAGAGCAGGAGACCUGGUUCCACUACUUGAACCAUUUUAGUGGGUUUCUUUCAGACGUCUCAACAUUUGUUUCUUGCUGGCUGAGUCUCUGGGGAUGUAAGAAACAAAGACCGGCACGUUUUUCGCCUGUAGCACUGAGCUGAGCUGUGGCUUCUCUGGUUGCCAUAUGUCCCAACAAGCAAAUGCAUGUGCCAGCUCAUGCAGCGGCAUGCGCUAUGCUACUGGCUGAAUAAAAGCAUCACACAGGA